UUUUAAUACUGAAGCGAAUCCUCCAUUUCCUGCGCAAAGUUUGAGAAGUUCCUUUCUCUUUCUCAAUACGUUUGCUAGAUAGAGUCUCCACAAUUUCAACCCACCUCCAGAAAUCUCUACCUUCUCAACUUCGAACAUCUUCUUCAAUUAUCCCUAGAUUUUUGCAAUAUUUAACUCUACAUUAAAAAACACAUUUUUUUUUUCAUUUUUCAUUUCGAUUCAGAAAGUGAGAUGAUGCAGUGACAAUCUCGUCUAUCAAAGGUAUAAAUCAUCAUCAUCAUGUCUAUGUCUGAUUCUGACUCCACCUCUUCUCAUGGCGGAGACUACAAAAAUUUCAGGCAAAUUAGUAGGGAUCGGUUGCUGGUUGAAAUGCUUCGAUCCACUAAAACUGGGGACUCAAAAUCAACUUGGAAGGUUCUUAUUAUGGACAAAGUGACGGUUAAAGUGAUGUCUUGCUCUUGCAAAAUGGCAGACAUCACUGAAGAAGGAGUCUCAUUGGUGGAAGACCUUCACAAGAGAAGACAGCCAUUGCCUACGAUGGAUGCUAUAUACUUCAUCCAGCCAUUAAAAGAGAAUGUUGCUAAAUUUUUGUCUGACAUGUCUGGAGGAAAGCCCUUGUACAAAAAGGCAUUUGUAUUCUUCAGUUCACCUUUUCCAAAAGAGUUGCUUGCUCAUAUUAAGAGUAAUGCAAGCGUAUUGACUCGCAUUGGUGGAUUGAGAGAGAUGAAUUUGGAAUACUUCGCAAUAGACAGUCAGGGCUUUCUUACUGAUAAUGAGAGAGCAUUGGGUGAACUUUUUGGGGAAAACGGGGAGAGGUCUCGUCAAUAUGAUGCUUGCUUGAAUGUGAUGGCAACUCGAAUUGCUACAGUCUUUGCUUCAAUGAGAGAGCUUCCAUUUGUUCAUUACCGUGCUGCUAAGGUUGAUGCAGUCACAUUGACAACAAUGCGUGAUUUGGUUCCAACUAAGCUUGCUGCUGCUGUGUGGAACCAGCUCACAAAGUACAAAGACAGCAUAAAGCAUUUUCCCCAGACAGAAACAUGCGAGUUGCUUAUUCUGGAUAGAUCUGUUGACCAGAUUUCGCCCAUAAUCCAUGAGUGGACAUAUGAUGCCAUGUGCCAUGACUUGCUGAAUAUGGACGGAAACAAAUAUGUUCAUGAGGUGCCAAGCAAAACAGGUGGUCAACCUGAGAAGAAAGAUGUCCUCUUGGAGGAUCAUGAUCCUGUUUGGCUCGAGCUACGCCAUGCCCAUAUUGCAGAUGCUAGCGAGCGGUUGCAUGACAAGAUGACUACAUUUAUAUCAAAAAAUAAAGCUGCACAAAUACAACAUGGUUCAAGAAGUGGUGGUGAACUGUCGACUCGAGACUUACAAAAGAUGGUUCAAGCCCUGCCACAAUAUAGUGAACAAAUUGAUAAGCUUUCGCUUCAUGUAGAGAUUGCUGGAAAAAUCAACAGAAUUAUCAAAGAGAUGGAACUUAGAGAUUUCGGGCAACUGGAGCAGGAUCUUGUAUUUGGAGAUGCUGGACCUAGGGAAGUGAUAAAUUUUCUGAGGACUAAACAGGAUGCACCUCGUGAAAACAAAUUGCGUCUGAUGAUGAUAUAUUCAGUCGCUUAUCCUGAGAAUUUUGAGGGUGAGAAAGGUCAGAAGUUAAUGCAGCUGGCAGGAUUAUCCCAUGAUGAUAUGAAUGCUGUAAACAACAUGCGGUUGCUUGACGGUUCCUCCGCUAGUGAAAAGAAUUCCUCAGGGGUAUUCUCUCUCAAGUUUGAGAGUCAGAAGAAGAAGCGUGCUAUCCGUAAAGAAAGAAAAGGCGUGGAAGAAACAUGGGCACUCUCAAGAUUUUACCCCAUGAUAGAGGAGCUGAUUGAAAAGCUUAACAAGGGUGAACUACCGAAGAGUGAAUAUGCAUGCAUGAAUGACCCAAGUCAAUCUGUCCAUGGAACCCAGGAAAGCGCGUCAGUGAGAUCAAGUCCAGUUUCAGCUGCUCAUUCAAUGAGAUCAAGACGGCCAGCCUCUUGGGCACGUCCUCGUAAUUCUGACGAUGGCUACUCAAGUGACUCAGUAUUAAGGCACGCAUCAAGCGAUUUCAAAAGGAUGGGCAAACGUAUCUUCGUAUUUAUCAUCGGCGGAGCUACUCGAGCAGAGUUACGGGUUUGCCACAAGCUCACUGAAAAACUUAAGAGGGAGAUUAUUCUGGGUUCAUCUAGUCUUGAUGACCCUCCACAAUUUAUAACGAAACUGAAGAUGCUUACGACCGAAUUCGACGAUCUUGACAUCUACUGAUGCUGUUUGUGGAGUUUUUAUUUGUAUUCGAACAUGUUUAACUCUCAAGGCCUCAGUAGAUGUACAAUAAGAUAGUGGUGCAGAUGGCUUAGCCAUGCCAAUGCAAAUCUGAGGAAUGAGCGUGGAAUUGCAAAGCGAAAUCCACAGUUCUCAGGAGCAAGCACUUGGAGGUGGUGUAAAAAGUUGUAUUAUGAGCUUGACAGAAUAGGAAAAUAAUGCAGAAUGGUAAAUGGAGCUUCAAUCCAAUUUACAAGUCUUAGGUUUAAACUCAUCUCAUUACCGAUAUUGGGGUGAUGACAUUGAUUUGUUAUUUAACUGAAUGUACCCCAUUCUUUUUGAGACAUUCCAAGUUUGUUAGAAACUGUAUUCCUGAAUGAUCUCGUAUCUGACUUCAGUAGCAGCAUUUGGACUUUGGAGUCAAAAGUUUGA